rnacentral:rRNA from 1 species
CCCUUAGAUGUUCUGGGCUGCACGCGUGCUACAAUGGCGUUUCCAGCAAGUCUGCGAACCCGAGAGGGCCAGCGGAUCUUCGAAUUGGCGUCGUGAUCGGGACAGUCGAUUGCAAUUAUUUGACUCAAACGAGGAAUUCCUUGUAAUCGCGAUCCAUCAUAUCGCGCUGAAUACGUCCCUGCCCUUUGUACACACCGCCCGUCGCUCCUACCGAUUGAGCGAUCCGGUAAAUGUUUUGGAUUGGUGCCGGGGCGGCUAGCUGCCGGUCGCUACGAAAUUUUGUGAACCUUAUCGCUUAGAGGAAGGAAAAGUCGUAACA